AUUGAACGCUGGCGGCAUGCCUUACACAUGCAAGUCGAACGGCAUCGCGGGAAGGCUUGCUUUCCUGGCGGCGAGUGGCGAACGGGUGAGUAACACAUCGGAACGUACCGGCUUGUGGGGGAUAACCCGUCGAAAGACGGGCUAAUACCGCAUACGCUCUUCGGGGGAAAGCAGGGGACCUUUGGGCCUUGCGCUCGCCGAGCGGCCGAUGUCCGAUUAGCUAGUUGGGGGGGUAAAGGCCUACCAAGGCGACGAUCGGUAGCGGGUCUGAGAGGACGAUCCGCCACACUGGGACUGAGACACGGCCCAGACUCCUACGGGAGGCAGCAGUGGGGAAUCUUGGACAAUGGGGGCAACCCUGAUCCAGCAAUGCCGCGUGGGUGAAGAAGGCCUUCGGGUUGUAAAGCCCUUUCGGCAGGGAAGAAAUCGGCGGGGCGAAUACCCCUGCUGGAUGACGGUACCUGCAGAAGAAGCACCGGCUAACUACGUG
rnacentral:rRNA from 1 species